UGGGGAAUAUUGGGCAAUGGGGGAAACCCUGACCCAGCGACGCCGCGUGGAGGAAGGAGCCCUUCGGGGUGUAGACUCCUGUUGUAAGGGAAGAAGGCAGUGACGGUACCUUACGAGGAAGCCCCGGCAAACUACGUGCCAGCAGCCGCGGUAACACGUAGGGGGCGAGCGUUGUCCGGAAUUACUGGGCGUAAAGCGCACGCAGGCGGAUGCGCGCGUCGGCUGUGAAAUGCACCGGCUCAACCGGUGUACUGCGGUCGAUACGGCGCAUCUGGAGUGCGGGAGAGGGAAGCGGAAUUCCCGGUGUAGCGGUGAAAUGCGUAGAUAUCGGGAGGAACGCCGGUGGCGAAGGCGGCUUCCUGGCCCGCAACUGACGCUCAUGUGCGAAAGCCAGGGGAGCGAACCG
rnacentral:rRNA from 1 species